CGGCGACGACGGCGGUUGAGGAGGAUGUUAGGGUUUGUAAAAAGAUGAAGUUAGCUGCCGGAGAUUUUGAAGGCUCACAAAAAGUGCCGAUGACUGAAGCUGAAGUUGAUUUUGUGAAUUUGUUGGAAGAUGAGCUUGAGAAAUUCAAUUCGUUCUUCUUCAAUAUCAAUUUGAUUUAUGCCUUCGGAAGAUGAGCUUGAGAAAUUCAAUUCGUUCUUCGUUGAGAAGGAAGAAGAGUAUAUCAUUACGUUAAAGGUAAACCUUUUUUAUAUUUCUGACGCCGAAGUGAUUUUUUUAAAUUUUUAUAUUUAGGAUAUCUGAAACUGCUAAUUUUGUUUGUUUGAAAGAAAAAUAAAAUACUGAGAAUUAUUUGUCAUUAACUGUACUAAUUAGAAAAUCAAACACAGUGAUGUAUGAAAGCAUAUAAUAGUAGUAGCGUAAUAAACAGGGUCGUAUUUGUAGUGUAACUUAAGUGAGCCCAUUAGCUGUUGCGCAAGCUCUGUAUAUGUAUUAAAAAAUUUACUAACUAUUUAUAAAUAUUGUGGUUCCAGUAUUUUGAUUAUUAUUAUUUUUUAGUAUUCUAUUUUACACGUUCACCAAUUAGGAAUUGAGAAUUUAUAUCUUUAGAUCAAAGUUGUUGGAAUAAUGGUAUCCAUUGCUAUUUGAGCUUGUUAGUAGUAAAAUUGGCGAAAUUAAGCGAAGUCACGAAAGCUGUCUUGGUAAUUAAUGGACAAGCUUAAAGGGAAAACCCCCUUAAAUGAAUGAAAUAAUGUAAUUCAACUUGUAAAUAGAGACAGCAGUAAAAAGUAUACCGGUUUGUUGGAUUGAUAUAGCUGCGUGCUUAAUUUUUACUGUCGCAUAAUUGAAGUCCAUUGAAGAUAUAACUAUUCUCUUAGUCCAAAAGGUCCCUGUCCUCAUCCAAUUGAGUGUAUAUGAUUUAUGCAAGAUUCAACCGUUCUGUUUGUUAUUUUUUAGUUGUUUUUCAGGUUUAAGCUAUCAUGUGUGAAUUUGUAAUAGCAGGGUGAAACAAUAGUUUUGCUCGGCAUCCAUGAUUUCAUUGUAGAGGUGUAGUUCCGACUAAUAACUGAUUAUCCAAGGCUUGUUAAGUUUUUGAUCUUAUAUUUGACAUGUGUUGUAAAUUGGUAACAGGAA
rnacentral:lncRNA from 1 species